AGAAGCAAAUAGAAUUCAGAGAAAGAUUUAAAAUGAAAGCUCUUUUUCAGAUUGCAGAAGAUCCAUAUGCUCUUGAUAAGGCAAAUCAAGAGGUUGAGAUGCUGAGAAAAGAAAUGUUACCAAUGCAGGAAUCCGCAAAGCUAUUUGAAGCAGUUAUUCCAGACUACAAGCAAAUGAAACAAUGUCAAAAAGAAAUACAGUUGCUCAAAGCAGCAUUGAUGAUUGGACUAAAACCCAGCGGAGACAGAUUAAUGUGGAACAGAUGGAUGUAGAGCUCAGAAGGUUUGCCAAGGUCAGGCUUUUAGUAGCAAAUGAUACUGCCUUGACAGACCUUUUGGGACUCCAGCUUCGUGAAGUGAAAGAUGAAGUCCAAAGAACAGUUCACAAAGCUGUGAAAGAGUUGAGUACUGAAAAGGUUCAUCUCCAAGCAAUUCCGAAAAGUAUAUAUGUGGAAUAUUUCACUGAAUAAGUGAAAAGUUGGCAAAAUAAAUGAAACAUGGUAGAUUCUGUCGUUUCCGUU
rnacentral:lncRNA from 1 species